CAGGACUGACUUAUUUACCAUCACUCGGCGGGGUCAAACAUCGGAAGCCUAGAUCGCCUCAACGCAGAGGGUGAACAAGGAGGUAAGAGACAAAGAUUUUAAGACUUUUGCCUUCCAUCACAGUGAGGAGGUGCCCGGUGAACUCACUGUGGUGAAUGUUAAAUUUGUGUUUAUUGUGUGUUUUUGUUAUUUUUAUUUAUUUUUAUUAUAUGUAUGACUGCAAGGCAUGGAAUUUCUUUCAGACCGAUAGGUCUGAAUGACAAUAAAGGAUACUUUGACUUAUACAGAGAAAAAUUACGAGGAUGUUUCCAGGACUAG